rnacentral:rRNA from 1 species
AUUGAACGCUGGCGGCAAGCCUAACACAUGCAAGUCGAGCGAGCGGCGGACGGGUGAGUAAUGUCUGGGAAACUGCCUGAUGGAGGGGGAUAACUACUGGAGACGGUAGCUAAUACCGCAUACCAUCAGAUGUGCCCAGAUUGGAUUAGCUAAUAGGUGGGGUAACGGCUCACCAAGGCGACGCUCCCUAGCUGGUCUGAGAGGAUGACCAGCCACACUUGAACUGAGACACGGUCCAGACUCCUACGGGAGGCAGCAGUGGGGAAUAUUGCACAAUGGGCGCAAGCCUGAUUCAGCCAUGCCGCGUGUAUGAAGAAGGCCUUCGGGUUGUAAAGUACUUUCAGCGGGGAGGCGUUACCCGAAGAAGAAGCACCGGCUAACUCCGUGCCAGCAGCCGCGGUAAUUC